UGAAGUCUCUUUCAAAAUCUCUGUUAAUGUUUGAAACAUGUCAAAAAUCCCAAUUUUUACUCAUUGUUCCCAUAAUUCUAGUUUGGCUUUGAAUGCAUCUGCUUUAUCUGCUGAUGUGAAUACAGUUGUCAUCCUUUCUUGAAGUAAUAAAUUGAGUUUGUUGAGCAAGUUGAAUAUGUUAUGUGAGUAGGCAGAUUUACAACCUAUUCUGCGUCACUGAAAUGUGCUGCCAGUUGUGACUAUUUUUCUAAAACAAAUGUUAGGAGCAGCUCUCAUAACUCAGAAAGUCUGGUCAGUUUUCUACCCUUACAAAGCUGUCUCACUUCAGUGCAUAAGAGAAGGUGUGGGUAUUCUAAGUCAACCCCCUCAUAGAGUUACAUGGACACACGCGAGCUAAGAGCAUAUACUUUUAUGUCACUGAUAAUUUUAAUACAUCUUGCAAAACUUUAUUAAGUCCAGUUGACAUUUUUUUGCAGGACAUUGUGCAUAGACUCAUGUUUAGGAGUCCCCACUUUGAUCCAAGUAGUGAAAUCAGAAAGCUGGCAGCCUCUCUGUUUGUGCAUAAACAAAAAGACCAAUUCAAUUUUCCUGAUAUAUAAUCACUCAAAGACUUGAGUAGUUCUGCAGCUGUGUGGUGGUUAGCAAUAAAAGUGCACAUGAUACAGCCCUAUGUACAUCUUCCUGAAAAAUACAUUGCGCAAAAACAAGCAUUAUUAUUUGUCAAUAUGAGUAGAUACGCCAACAUGGGUUUUGUACAAGGGCGACUCAUUAAUCCUCUCUAAUAAUUGUGUUUUGAUAUCUUUUGCUAUUUCAGCAAUUUGCCUAACGGUGCCAACUGAAAGAGGAACACCGACUACCUUUUGAACUGCAGCCUCUCCUAAAAUUUCAUGACAAAUGUCUUUAGCAACAGGGACUAAGAUCAUUCACCAGUGGUUUAUAAUUCACAGCAGAAACCGCUCACAUAACAAGAGAUUUGAGACAGAGGCAGCCUGACUUCUCCAGAACUUCCCUACGAGGCAGUGCUCAGGACUCAUGAAGUUGCCUUGACACUAGGUGGAGCCAUGGAUUGAGAUUAGGUGCUUCAAAGAAUGAUUGUCGUAUGUUCAGAAACCAACCCAAAGGAGAAGGAGAUAACAUAAGAAGGCAAAGCCCAAGCUGUGGUUUUACAAGAUGAUGGAGAUAGAUGUCAUCUCUCUGUGCCUAUCAUGAAAGAAGGUUUAUCUUAUUUUGCCAUGAGCUGGCUGAAAAUGCCUUUGACCACUCUGUCUCCAUUUGUAUAGUGGAGAGGAAGUGUUUGAAUCUAGGCCUCUUCAGUUACAACUUGAGGUGCUGAGAGAGCAUUUGAGAGAAGAAAGAAUGGUAAAGAAGGGAGACAAAGAGGAAUAAAAGGACAUCACCUUGAACGGGACAUUGGCAGUCCUUUCAGAGCAGCUGCUUUUGGACAUUGUAACAAGCAUGUGAUGCACUUGUAUUUUUAUGCCCAGGGGCCUGGUGUCAGGAGAAUCUGCUCAGCCUCUUUGUUAUGGUCAUUCAAGCCAUCCACAAAGACCAUGUAUAAUAGGGGUAUGCAGAGUUCUCCAGCCUUCAAAGGACUGCCUUUCUAAUUAAUAUCCUAAUAACUUUCAGCCUUGUGCCUUUAUACAACUCUAAUAAGGUCAGUCUCCAACUUUUUCUUCCUGGUGAUUUCUAGGAAUUCCCAAGGAAUACUUACCACCAACCUCCAAGGAACCCCAUUGGUAGUCGUCUUGUAAUUUCCCCAAACAGGGAACAGAGGGCAACAUUUAAUACAAUUUUACUGGAAGAGAUUUAGGAAUAAUGGACAGAAAUAGCAACGGAGAAAAGAAAAAUAUCAAAGUGAAUCCUCCACAAUGUGCCUUAUCCUAACCUCACAUGAGGGUUAUCUCCCCUUCAGCCCUUACCGCUCUACCAUGUGGUAGGAAUCAAACUUCUUACAGACAAGAAGAACCCUUGAUCAUGACUUCCCUUCUCAGACCUCGGAGAAACAGUCUCCGGGCUGCAAUUCUACUCACAGUAAAGAAAACUUUUUUUUUUUUUUAAUGUAAUCAGUUCAUUUUAUGUUUAGUGCU